UACGUAGGGUGCAAGCGUUGUCCGGAAUUAUUGGGCGUAAAGAGCUCGUAGGCGGUUUGUCGCGUCUGCUGUGAAAAUCCAAGGCUCAACCUUGGACCUGCAGUGGGUACGGGCAGACUAGAGUGCGGUAGGGGAGAUGGGAAUUCCUGGUGUAGCGGUGGAAUGCGCAGAUAUCAGGAGGAACACCAAUGGCGAAGGCACAUCUCUGGGCCGUAACUGACGCUGAGGAGCGAAAGCGUGGGGAGCGAACAGG
rnacentral:rRNA from 1 species